rnacentral:rRNA from 1 species
AGUGAACGCUGGCGGCAUGCCUAACACAUGCAAGUCGAACGGCAGCACAGUAAGAGCUUGCUCUUACGGGUGGCGAGUGGCGGACGGGUGAGGAAUACAUCGGAAUCUACUUUUUCGUGGGGGAUAACGUAGGGACACUUACGCUAAUACCGCAUACGACCUACGGGUGAAAGCAGGGGAUCUUCGGACUUUGCGCGAUUGAAUGAGCCGAUGUCGGAUUAGCUAGUUGACGGGGUAAAGGACCACCAAGGCGACGAUCCGUAGCUGGACUGAGAGGAUGAUCAGCCACACUGGAACGGAGACACGGUCCAGACGCCUACGGGAGGCAGCAGUGGGGAAUAUUGGACAAGGGGCGCAAGCCUGAUCCAGCCAGGCCGCGUGGUGGAGGAAGGCCUUCGGGUUGUAAAGCCCUUUUGUUGGGAAGGAAAAGCAGCAGGUUAAUACCCCGCUGUUCUGACGGUACCCAAAGAAUAAGCACCGGCUAACUUCGUG